GCAUCAGUUUGAGGUCCAACCUGACAGCUGCCUUGUCCGGUCCCUCUUCCCCGCCCUGUUACUAUUUGGUGGUCAUCUUGUCUUGUCUGAGGAGGAGGGGAGGGGGGUCACAGCCCGGGAUUAAAGAGCAAAUAAACGUACGUAUAGCAAGUGUACUUUUGGGGUCGCGGGUGAGAGGAUUGACCUGGAUUCAGGCUGUCCCUGUCCGUCUCCCCUCCUCUUCCUCUUCCUCUUCCUCUUCCUCUUCCUCACCUUCUCUCUCUAUCUCUCUGCAGUUCACGCGGGACUGUGGGACCGUGUCGGAUCGCUGCCUUCAACUUGGGCUGAAGAAAGACUCGGGAAACUCCUCGGGAUUCUCCGUACACCGAGCACUGAUACGGAUGUUUAGUUUGACGUGCUGAAGUGCAUCAUAAGGAGAAUUCUGGGGAGAUUUCUUACUCUUUCAUUGCUCAAGGAUGAAGCAGCACAGCAGACCUGUGUACUGAAUCAGGUAAGCAUAAUUACUGCGAUGACCUUCAAACAACACUCGCACCCCCAUAAACUUUCUUCCCCCUCCUGUCAAAAGCAGUUAUCCUUCUGG
rnacentral:lncRNA from 1 species